GCGGUUAGCACGGACUUCUAUUUACAGCGGAUAGCACAGGUUUCUUCUCCUCUUUACAGCAGAUGUACACUUGAGAAAAGUGCUAAAGAAGGAGCAUGAAAAUAUGAAUUUGGUGCACAGAGAUGCAACACUCCGGCAAUUAUGUGCCAUUUUAUCUCAGACUUUUUGCUUUACAACUUAAUGAAAAAUGCCAUAUUAUCAUCAUAUAAAGUGCACUCAGAAGAACUAUGAUGAAAACAAAGAGAAAUCAGUGUGAUGUGGAUAUAACACCUCAUAACACUUCAAAACCAGUAGAAAAUAUUCAUAGUGAAGUCAGCAAAGCAUUUGACAAAGCUCUUGAUUCAAAAUUGAUGCCCAAAUGUCAUUGUAAUUGUCAGACGACCUGUGUGGUGGUUAAAGGAAGACAGGAC